GAUAACCCACAAAAACAGACGCUGGGGGAAGAAAUAAAAAUCUGAGUGCCGCAUUUCAAAAGGAACGGACCUCCCCACCCCCUGUUCUCUUUCUUCUUCAAGAGCCAUUUUCAUGGCUGGUUCUUGAGCAACCAAAAAAAACUCCAUCAGCAGCUACCCUAACCUCAAAAAUCCCAGCGUCUAACGAAACACACACAAAAGAUAGGUAUAGGAACGGACAGAAGCAACUGAGAUCGAAAUUUGGCCAUUCGAAAACUUCAAUUUAGAUCUGUUCCCAAAAGUUGUCGAUAUCAAAAAUUUGUUGCUGUUGACUGUUGAACACGUUGUUAAGUUUAGUUCGAUCUGGUUUCAGUUAUUGUUGAAGAGUCGAGUUUGUUUUUCGUUGAGGUUCCGACUGUCGUUCCUUGCCAUCGCAAUUUUAUGACCAAACAAAAAUUGUAGAGGUUGAGAUUCUCGUAACAGGCGACACUUUGUUUGAUGUUCCUUUUAUCUCUUUUCUUUAAUUAAUUCAAGAAUCUUAGGUAGUCUACUUUAGUGCUUUUGGUUUGAAUGAAUUUGUGUUCGUGAAAUUGGCAUACUAGUAUCUUGGAUUCUGUUUGUUUUAGGGUAUUUGUUUUAGAUCUUUAAAAAAUGGGAAUUGCGACAUACUGUUCAUAUCAUUUCUUUUAAGAUCUCUUGAAUUCCUUUUUGUAAUGAUAGUAUUAUGUUGCAUGUGAGAUGAACGUGAUAAUGGAAGAAAUGAAAAAUGCAAUUCUCCAAAAAAUGAAUGUUGGAUGUUUGUUUGGGUUGAUAAAUAUUGAGAAG
rnacentral:lncRNA from 1 species